rnacentral:rRNA from 1 species
CACGUAGGCACCAAGCGUUGUCCGGAUUUAUUGGGCGUAAAGGGCGCGUAGGCGGCCCGCUAAGUCGAACGUGAAAUCCCCGGGCUCAACCCGGGAACUGCGUCCGAUACUGGUGGGCUUGAAUCCGGGAGAGGGAUGCGGAAUUCCAGGUGUAGCGGUGAAAUGCGUAGAUAUCUGGAGGAACACCGGUGGCGAAGGCGGCAUCCUGGACCGGUAUUGACGCUGAGGCGCGAAAGCCAGGGGAGCAAACGGG